rfam:Astyanax mexicanus Tnplaced_Scaffold3421, whole genome shotgun sequence.
GUCCGGAUGCCUCAGUCGGUAGAGCAUCAGACUUUUAAUCUGAGGGUCCAGGGUUCAAGUCCCUGUUCGGGCA